rnacentral:rRNA from 1 species
CGGGGCUAAUACCGGAUGGUUGUCUGAACCGCAUGGUUCAGACAUAAAAGGUGGCUUCGGCUACCUGUUACAGAUGGACCCGCGGCGCAUUAGCUAGUUGGUGAGGUAACGGCUCACCAAGGCGACGAUGCGUAGCCGACCUGAGAGGGUGAUCGGCCACACUGGGACUGAGACACGGCCCAGACUCCUACGGGAGGCAGCAGUAGGGAAUCUUCCGCAAUGGACGAAAGUCUGACGGAGCAACGCCGCGUGAGUGAUGAAGGUUUUCGGAUCGUAAAGCUCUGUUGUUAGGGAAGAACAAGUGCCGUUCAAAUAGGGCGGCACCUUGACGGUACCUAACCAGAAAGCCACGGCUAACUACGUGCCAGCAGCCGCGGUAAUACGUAGGUGGCAAGCGUUGUCCGGAAUUAUUGGGCGUAAAGGGCUCGCAGGCGGUUUCUUAAGUCUGAUGUGAAAGCCCCCGGCUCAACCGGGGAGGGUCAUUGGAAACUGGGGAACUUGAGUGCAGAAGAGGAGAGUGGAAUUCCACGUGUAGCGGUGAAAUGCGUAGAGAUGUGGAGGAACACCAGUGGCGAAGGCGACUCUCUGGUCUGUAACUGACGCUGAGGAGCGAAAGCGUGGGGAGCGAACAGGAUUAGAUACCCUGGUAGUCCACGCCGUAAACGAUGAGUGCUAAGUGUUAGGGGGUUUCCGCCCCUUAGUGCUGCAGCUAACGCAUUAAGCACUCCGCCUGGGGAGUACGGUCGCAAGACUGAAACUCAAAGGAAUUGACGGGGGCCCGCACAAGCGGUGGAGCAUGUGGUUUAAUUCGAAGCAACGCGAAGAACCUUACCAGGUCUUGACAUCCUCUGACAAUCCCUGACAAUCCUAGAGAUAGGACGUCCCCUUCGGGGGCAGAGUGACAGGUGGUGCAUGGUUGUCGUCAGCUCGUGUCGUGAGAUGUUGGGUUAAGUCCCGCAACGAGCGCAACCCUUGAUCUUAGUUGCCAGCAUUCAGUUGGGCACUCUAAGGUGACUGCCGGUGACAAACCGGAGGAAGGUGGGGAUGACGUCAAAUCAUCAUGCCCCUUAUGACCUGGGCUACACACGUGCUACAAUGGACAGAACAAAGGGCAGCGAAACCGCGAGGUUAAGCCAAUCCCACAAAUCUGUUCUCAGUUCGGAUCGCAGUCUGCAACUAGACUGCGUGAAGC